rnacentral:misc_RNA from 1 species
GGAUCAGCUGUCUCCUUCCGAGAAAUUAGUUAGUGCUUCUCAAUCAAAGGUCAAAGAGCUUGGACAUGAACCAACGAAGUUUAAGAAACAAGGUGGUGCAGCUGAACAGUUCAAGAAGACUCAAGAUAGAGGUUAUGAGAUCAGGUCUGGAACUAGCAAAACAUCACUCUCGAGUAAAGUGGUUUUGGAGGCUGAGGAGGGACUUGACUCAUUUUCGACACCCCCUAUUGAGCAAGCUCAGAGGGCACGCCAGCCCAAAGCUAACCAGGAAAUGAAUGAUGACUUGAAAAUGAAAGCUAAUGAGCUAGAGAAGCUUUUUGCUGAACACAAAUUACGUGC